GUAGGUGGCAAGCGUUGUCCGGAAUUAUUGGGCGUAAAGCGCGCGCAGGUGGUUCUUUAAGUCUGAUGUGAAAGCCCCCCGGCUCAACCGGGGAGGGUCAUUGGAAACUGGGGAACUUGAGUGCAGGAGAGGAAAGUGGAAUUCCACGUGUAGCGGUGAAAUGCGUAGAUAUGUGGAGGAACACCAGUGGCGAAGGCGACUUUCUGGCCUGUAACUGACACUGAGGCGCGAAAGCGUGGGGAGCAAACAGGAUUAGAUACCCUGGUAGUCCAUGCCGUAAACGAUGAGUGCUAAGUGUUGGGGGGGUUUCCCGCCCCUCAGUGCUGCAGCUAACGCAUUAAGCACUCCGCCUGGGGAGUACGGUCGCAAGACUG
rnacentral:rRNA from 1 species